AUGGGGAAACCCAGUGUGAUUCGUCACACUAUCGUUAACUGAAUACAUAGGUUAACGAGGCGAACCGGGGGAACUGAAACAUCUAAGUACCCCGAGGAAAAGAAAUCAACCGAGAUUCCCCCAGUAGCGGCGAGCGAACGGGGAGCAGCCCAGAGUCUGAAUCAGCUUGUGUGUUAGUGGAACGGUCUGGAAAGUCCGACGGUACAGGGUGAUAGUCCCGUACACCAAAAUGCACAGGUUGUGAACUCGAAGAGUAGGGCGGGACACGUGGUAUCCUGUCUGAAUAUGGGGGGACCAUCCUCCAAGGCUAAAUACUCCUGACUGACCGAUAGUGAACCAGUACCGUGAGGGAAAGGCGAAAAGAACCCCGGCGAGGGGAGUGAAAAAGAACCUGAAACCGUGUACGUACAAGCAGUGGGAGCACCUUCGGGUGUGACUGCGUACCUUUUGUAUAAUGGGUCAGCGACUUAUAUUCUGUAGCAAGGUUAACCGUAUAGGGGAGCCGCAGGGAAACCGAGUCUUAACUGGGCGUUAAGUUGCAGGGUAUAGACCCGAAACCCGGUGAUCUAGCCAUGGGCAGGUUGAAGGUUGGGUAACACUAACUGGAGGACCGAACCGACUAAUGUUGAAAAAUUAGCGGAUGACUUGUGGCUGGGGGUGAAAGGCCAAUCAAACCGGGAGAUAGCUGGUUCUCCCCGAAAGCUAUUUAGGUAGCGCCUCGUGAACUCAUCUUCGGGGGUAGAGCACUGUUUCGGCUAGGGGGUCAUCCCGACUUACCAACCCGAUGCAAACUACGAAUACCGAAGAAUGUUAUCACGGGAGACACACGGCGGGUGCUAACGUCCGUCGUGAAGAGGGAAACAACCCAGACCGCCAGCUAAGGUCCCAAAGUCAUGGUUAAGUGGGAAACGAUGUGGGAAGGCACAGACAGCCAGGAUGUUGGCUUAGAAGCAGCCAUCAUUUAAAGAAAGCGUAAUAGCUCACUGGUCGAGUCGGCCUGCGCGGAAGAUGUAACGGGGCUAAACCAUGCACCGAAGCUGCGGCAGCGACACUAUGUGUUGUUGGGUAGGGGAGCGUUCUGUAAGCCUGCGAAGGUGUGCUGUGAGGCAUGCUGGAGGUAUCAGAAGUGCGAAUGCUGACAUAAGUAACGAUAAAGCGGGUGAAAAGCCCGCUCGCCGGAAGACCAAGGGUUCCUGUCCAACGUUAAUCGGGGCAGGGUGAGUCGACCCCUAAGGCGAGGCCGAAAGGCGUAGUCGAUGGGAAACAGGUUAAUAUUCCUGUACUUGGUGUUACUGCGAAGGGGGGACGGAGAAGGCUAUGUUAGCCGGGCGACGGUUGUCCCGGUUUAAGCAUGUAGGCUGGUUGUCCAGGCAAAUCCGGAUAAUCAAGGCUGAGGUGUGAUGACGAGGCACUACGGUGCUGAAGUAACAAAUGCCCUGCUUCCAGGAAAAGCCUCUAAGCAUCAGGUAACAUUAAAUCGUACCCCAAACCGACACAGGUGGUCAGGUAGAGAAUACCAAGGCGCUUGAGAGAACUCGGGUGAAGGAACUAGGCAAAAUGGUGCCGUAACUUCGGGAGAAGGCACGCUGGUGUGUAGGUGAAGCCCCUGCGGGUGGAGCUGAGACCAGUCGAAGAUACCAGCUGGCUGCAACUGUUUAUUAAAAACACAGCACUGUGCAAACACGAAAGUGGACGUAUACGGUGUGACGCCUGCCCGGUGCCGGAAGGUUAAUUGAUGGGGUUAUCCGUAAGGAGAAGCUCUUGAUCGAAGCCCCGGUAAACGGCGGCCGUAACUAUAACGGUCCUAAGGUAGCGAAAUUCCUUGUCGGGUAAGUUCCGACCUGCACGAAUGGCGUAAUGAUGGCCAGGCUGUCUCCACCCGAGACUCAGUGAAAUUGAACUCGCUGUGAAGAUGCAGUGUACCCGCGGCAAGACGGAAAGACCCCGUGAACCUUUACUAUAGCUUGACACUGAACAUUGAGCCUUGAUGUGUAGGAUAGGUGGGAGGCUUUGAAGCGUGGACGCCAGUCUGCGUGGAGCCAACCUUGAAAUACCACCCUUUAAUGUUUGAUGUUCUAACGUUGGCCCCUGACCGGGGUUGCGGACAGUGUCUGGUGGGUAGUUUGACUGGGGCGGUCUCCUCCCAAAGCGUAACGGAGGAGCACGAAGGUUAGCUAAUCCUGGUCGGACAUCAGGAGGUUAGUGCAAUGGCAUAAGCUAGCUUGACUGCGAGCGUGACGGCGCGAGCAGGUGCGAAAGCAGGUCAUAGUGAUCCGGUGGUUCUGAAUGGAAGGGCCAUCGCUCAACGGAUAAAAGGUACUCCGGGGAUAACAGGCUGAUACCGCCCAAGAGUUCAUAUCGACGGCGGUGUUUGGCACCUCGAUGUCGGCUCAUCACAUCCUGGGGCUGAAGUAGGUCCCAAGGGUAUGGCUGUUCGCCAUUUAAAGUGGUACGCGAGCUGGGUUUAGAACGUCGUGAGACAGUUCGGUCCCUAUCUGCCGUGGGCGCUGGAGAAUUGAGGGGGGCUGCUCCUAGUACGAGAGGACCGGAGUGGACGCAUCACUGGUGUUCGGGUUGUCAUGCCAAUGGCACUGCCCGGUAGCUAAAUGCGGAAGAGAUAAGUGCUGAAAGCAUCUAAGCACGAAACUUGCCCCGAGAUGAGUUCUCCCUGAGACUUUAAGUCUCCUGAAGGAACGUUGAAGACGACGACGUUGAUAGGCCGGGUGUGUAAGCGCAGCGAUGCGUUGAGCUAACCGGUACUAAUGAACCGUGAGGCUUAACCUU
rnacentral:rRNA from 1 species